rnacentral:rRNA from 1 species
GACGACGCUGGCGGCGUGGAUUAGGCAUGCAAGUCGAACGGUAUCAUCCUUCGGGGUGAGAGAGUGGCGAACUGGUGAGUAACACGUAGGUUAUCUACCCUCAAGACGGGACAACCCAGGGAAACUUGGGCUAAUACCGGAUGUGAGCAACUUUUAGUUGUUUGAAAGGUGGCGUAAGCUGUCGCUUGGGGAUGAGCCUGCGUCCUAUUAGUUAGUUGGUGAGGUAACGGCUCACCUAGGCAAUGAUAGGUAGGCGGCCUUAACGGGUGGUCGCCCACACUGGGAUUGAGAUACGGCCCAGACUCCUACGGGAGGCAGCAGUCGAGAAUAGUCUACAAUGGUCGGAAGACUGAUAGUGCGACGCCGCGUGAACGAUGAAUCCCUUCGGGGUGUAAAGUUCUUUUAUAUGUGAGCAGUGCUUCUUAUAUUAACAGUAUGGGGAGAGAGAUAUUAGCAUAUGAAUAAGCAACGGCUAACUCCGUG